AUUGAACGCUGGCGGCAUGCCUUACACAUGCAAGUCGAACGGUAACAGGUCUUCGGAUGCUGACGAGUGGCGAACGGGUGAGUAAUACAUCGGAACGUGCCUAGUAGUGGGGGAUAACUACUCGAAAGAGUGGCUAAUACCGCAUGAGAUCUACGGAUGAAAGCAGGGGAUCGCAAGCCCGUGUGCCACUAGGGCGGCCGAGGGCGGAUUAGGUAGUUGGUGGGAUAAAAGCUUACCAAGCCGACGAUCUGUAGCUGGUCUGAGAGGACGAUCAGCCACACUGGGACUGAGACACGGCCCAGACUCCUACGGGAGGCAGCAGUGGGGAAUUUUGGACAAUGGGCGCAAGCCUGAUCCAGCAAUGCCGCGUGCAGGAUGAAGGCCUUCGGGUUGUAAACUGCUUUUGUACGGAACGAAAAGCCCCGGGUUAAUACCCUGGGGUCAUGACGGUACCGUAAGAAUAAGCACCGGCUAACUACGUGCCAGCAGCCGCAGUAA
rnacentral:rRNA from 1 species